GUUCGAUGGCGGAAUCAGAGAUUCCAAGUAUAACGUCUCUCUUUCUAUUCUAAAUCUAAACCUUAUGUUCCUCUGCGAUUGUGUGAAGGUUCUGGUAACUUGAUUGCUUGGAAAAAGGGUGCAAUCUGUUCAUUCAGUUUUAUUGUUUAAAGAAAGGAAGCACUUAGUUUAAUAUGGAACUUUGAGGUCCUUAGAUGUCUUGGAUUUGGAACUUGCUGUCUGGAGAAGCUGGAGUGGUCAUGGGUCGACUAGGGGGAUUCAUUUAA
rnacentral:lncRNA from 1 species